CGCGGGGACCCCCCGGGCCGGCCCCGGGACCCCCGAGCCCGCCGGUCCCGCGGGGGCCCUCUGGCGGACACGGCGCGGCGGCGCCGAUCAGGCGACCCCCGGUGGGCGGGGGCGGAACUGCAGCCCCCGGUCAGAGCCCCCCCCGGGAGAAUAUCGCCCGCCUCCCCCUUCCCCGUGGCACCCUGAGAUGCUUCACCCCGGACAGGCACAGCUGGAACUGCAGAAGCCAUGAGGCAACUCCUGGGGCUCUGAAGUGACAGUGGCUUCCUGCACGGAGAGACGUCCUCACCUGUGCUCAGGUGCUGCCUCACCACGUGCCGGGAGCGCGUCCCACCACCACCUUCUCCUGGGUGAACACGUCCCCUGGAGCCCAACCCCAGGGGGGUGAAAAUCAGCUGAAUUCCAGGGAACUUGGUCAGUUCCCCCACAGGGACAUCAGUGGGGCUGGGGGAGGAGGGUUAUAAACAACAAAUUCUAUGGAAUAUCAACCUGUCCUGUCCUGAUCCCACUGAGCUUCCCUGGAACGUUGGCUGGUUCCUGACAAACCUGGCGUUAAAGCAGCAGCUCUGCAGGGGAAUAUCUGGGCUCCAUAAGGCACUGUGAGGCUGUUCCAGCAGGAAUUCACCAUUGAAGAAGCCAAGAGCCAAAAGCAAAUCCCAGGCUGGUGGCCAGGCUGGUGGGCAGCAGUUGGAUCCACUCUGGGGCAAAACACCCUGCCCCUGCUGCCAGGAGCUCUGAUUCUGUUUUUCCUGCCAGCUCCUGAUCAGUGUCAGGGCCACAGUGAGGGACUCAAAAUCCAAAUAAACCUCAAAACCUACAGCAUGAGUAAUCCAAAGGAAGAAACUCACUGUUGUCAUAAGAAGCUUAAAAAUCAGUUAAAAAUUCCAUGACAACAAUACCGGGAUUCCCUGGAACCUUAUUAAUGCUCUUGGUUCCAUUUUAAUGUAUUUUUAGUCCCUCAAUUUGCAGCUUGUAGAACUUAUCCUGGGAUUUAGAGGUUGAGCAGGGUUUGCUUUGGAUUAACUUUUACCUCUGGCCCCAAGUUGUGCAAACACGACUCGGAUCAAUGUGGUUAAACACAUUUUCCUACAAAAACAGUUGCUCUGCCCUCUCUAAAUUCCCCCAAGUUUUCAGCUAAAAAUUUCACCCCUGUUCUCCCUAAGUCACCCCAGGUUUUCCCACCUCGGAGCUACAAGGAAGCUGUAACUUCUAAGGCAGAAAGAGAAAAUCUACCAGCAAAAGACAGAAAAAAGGGAAAAGUUUCAGAAAAUAUUUCUGCAAUCUAAGUAAUAAUUACUCCCAAUUUCCCAGUGAAAAGAACAAGAAUGUGCAGCCAUUAGGGCCUGACAGUCCCCUGCCACCAGAGCUCAGCACACAUCCAGAGUGACAAUUCCAUCAUCUAAAAGAAAAAAAAGGAAGAAAAAGGUGAUUUAGUUUGUUUUAAAGUUAUUCGCAUUUCUUAAAACCAAACCAACAUUUAUUUGCUUUUGAUUUUUAUUGGGUGAAUAAUGAGAAGUGGGCACAGGGCAUGUCAUUAAUGCUGACUGGAAUGAUGCUUGCUAGGGGAAGACCAACUGAUUGCCCAAGUUCAAUUCAUGCCCAAGGACUGAUUUGCACAGGAGAAAACCUCUUGCCUGAAGUGAUUUUGUUCCAUCUAAUAAUAUCUGUGCUGCCACUGCACAGAGUAGCUUUUCCCCUCACAGUAACAACUCUGGGCAGGAAAAGAUUUAUCAGUCAAGAUGUGUUACCUGAUCUUUCUACUUUAACUCAUUUCUUUUCUUCCUCAAGUUUCAGGGACUUGCUGGUCCUGGAGCUUCAUCAGAAGCUUUGGGUGGGUGGGAUACCCAGACUGAGUUAGUCCUGGAAAUGCACAUCCACACCCAGGUCAGACAGUCAGGGAUGUUUCCUGCACUCCAAACACCACAGCCCCAAGCACCAGGAGCCUGCAGAUGCUCUGCAUUGCAAUCCACAGCCUCAGUCAGUCCUACAAGGGAAAGCAAAGUGGUUUUGCCUCCUCUGAGAGAGGAAAACACACAACAGCAAGUACUGGCCCAGCUGACCCAGCCCUUGUGGGCAGCUGUACCACUGAACAGGAGAAUCCAUCCUGGCUCACUGUUAUGGUAAAACACUGCAAAUCCAGGAGGUCUGGGGCUUAAAAGCUCAAUUUAGGUCAGCAAAAAGCUCUCUGGCUGGGACAAUUCACUGAAUUCACUGGGAGGUCCUCAAAUCUGUUUCCUAGGGCAUAAAAAGUCCAAAGGAAAAGCUGCUGAGCACACAAGACUUCAAGGUGCUGCAAUCAGAGGUUCCCUGAACUGCAGGGAAAUGUCCUGAGUGUGGCUUUGGACUGCUGCCCCUGCACACUGUGCUCUCCAGACCAGUCAUCCUUCCUGGGAAGGCCAGGGAGAAGGGAAUGUGUGUUGGAGGCUCUCAGGGAACCCCCAGCCCCACUGCCAGUGCCUGCAGCCCUCACCCCAGUUCCUGUCCCUCAGGGGAUGGCUCUUCAUGCAGGCCUUGGGGACAUGGGCUGGGGGUAGCCUUGGCAGGCUGGGACACCACUUGGACCCUAUGGUCUCAAAGGGCUUUUCCAGCCUCAGGGAUCCCAUGGGACACUUAGUGACUGACACACCUGCACAGAUAGGCACGGAAGCUGUUACCCAUGGAUCAUAUUCCAUAAGCCAGAGCACUUCAGGGCAUCACUGAGAGACUGCAGAGAGCAGGAAAACCACACUUACACCACUUACCCUGCUCAGGGGUUUCCCAGAGGGUCAUGAACAGCAUUUCAUUGUGAUCUUGAGGGAAAACAACUCUUAAGAUGGCCCUGAAGAUGCCACUUUUCUGUCACUCCUGCCCCAGAACCACGGCCCAGCAGGUUUCUGUGGGAACCUGAAUUAUUUCUGUAGUUCAGAAGCUGCACAUCCCUAAAGCAUUCCCUUGGGAACAUGAAGCUUCCCAUAGGCAUUUUGUACUUCAGUUUGGACUUUCAGCACAUUCAAAGACAGUUUACAUCAGAAUGAGGGGACUUGAUGACAGCACAGCAUUACAGCAGGGACAUCAGGGCACUCACCACACAAUACUCACUGUGGACUCUCCAAUCCCAGCACUCCUUCUGUACCAUCCUCAGUUCUCACAGAGACUCAGUUCCAUUUCCAUCAGGAAAUGGAUCUCUGUUCCCAGAAGCAAAUCUCCAAGGCCAUUUUUACUCCCCGCAAACACAAGAAUGACCAGGGACAGCUGGUGGAAGAGGACAAAAAGAGGACUGUGAUGAUCAGACACUUUUAACUGGGAGAGCUCCAAUUCCUACCUGCCAUCCCUAAGCAGCUCUGCCUUGGCACUGCCCCUCUGCUCCCAAACACCUCUGUGGGAUUUUGGCCCCUAAUGCACACAAUUCCAUGGUAAUUUGCAUAAUAACUCAAUAAUAAUCAUUAAUGGGUGCUCCAGGUGGGAGUCAAUGGGGUUUCUGUGUGCCAGCAGUGCCAGGAGAUGUCUCAUCCCUUCCCCAGGGCGCUGCUGCAGGGACAUCCCCCCAGGAGGCUGCAGGACACAUCUGCACCAGGAUGGGAAUCUGGGCUCCCAAACCCAUCCAACAGCUCCAGCCCUGGAGCUGCUGCUGCACCUCCCGUUUGGCCAGUGGGGCUGAGAGAAGGAAAACUUACAGAGGGAACUGAGAAAACAACCCCAAAUCUCAGUAACUCA